rnacentral:rRNA from 1 species
AUUUAUGGCCGGUGCCUGGGCCGCGGGCCAAAGUUUGGUUUGGGCAGCGCGUGCUGUGGUGCGGUGUUUCGCUCCCCGCCUGGGCCUCGUUUUUUCUGGUGGUUUCCGUCCGCAGGAGGCAGGGAGACAGGAGCGGCAGGGGUUGGAGAGCGACGUUUUCCAACGAACAGUACCGUAGUUUCGCGUAGGAGUUCCUUGAGUUCCUGGACGUCUUCCUGGGCGGGUGUAGUACGUCACGUCCAGGACGACCACUCCUGUACAAAGUAACCGUUCGUUGUUAAUACCCUGGGGGACUGUCAGGGAUACGGCCGCCACAAAAGAAUCACUUGUAAGUAAAGGGAGGCCUAAUGGGGAAGUUCGGUGGUUUCCAUAGAAAAUUCUGUUUCCAGAAGGUAGGAUUAUAGUUGUCGUUACCUUCGUAUACGGAACUAUAAGAAUUCCUCGUCACCUCGGGACGAAACUGCUAGAGGUUCCAGAACGAGAGAUAGACGAGGGACGACUGGCUAGGGUUGGGCCUACUAGGGGAACAAGGACUCUAACGGGUGUACAUGUUCUGCCUGGCCAGUUUCAUGCUCUGCUGUCGGGCGUCGACCUGCGUCUUCAUGCGGUACCCAACUUCUUCUGGACGUAGCACCUGUUGACUUUACAGCGAAGUUCUUUUUAUAAAUACCCGGUAACAAAGAAGCUAAACAACGACCAACACACAUUAGGCUAGGAGUUCCUAACAUUUAACGUAAGCCGCAGCCGGGAUAGUAGUUAACGGUGAUCAUAGCCGUCUGUACGUACGGAUAGUCGGAUAAGUGGAUACGAACAACCCAAUUGGAAGUAGCCACAACCACAAUAAACCAUUUACAAGUAAUUUUGUACAAACGAAGUACUGGAACAGGUCUAAAUAGAAGAAAACCAAAAUCCAGUACAAAGCUAUACAUACAUACAAGUCAAAACAACAACAAGCGUCGAUUUCGUAGUUCCCAUCAACGUUGAACGUUAUAUGGUCUUCGAGCGACGUUUUGCACAACCGAGACGUAUAAACGAAACGGGGUUCAGUUUGAAAGAUUUGAAACUGGUAAGUAAGUUACUACUUAGAUUACAAUGAUCG